UAGGGAAUCUUCGGCAAUGGACGAAAGUCUGACCGAGCAACGCCGCGUGAGUGAAGAAGGUUUUCGGAUCGUAAAACUCUGUUGUUAGAGAAGAACAAGGACGUUAGUAACUGAACGUCCCCUGACGGUAUCUAACCAGAAAGCCACGGCUAACUACGUGCCAGCAGCCGCUGUAAUACGUAGGUGGCAAGCGUUGUCCGGCUUUAUUGGGCGUAAAGCGAGCGCAGGCGGUUUCUUAAGUCUGAUGUGAAAGCCCCCGGCUCAACCGGGGAGGGUCAUUUGAAACUGGGAGACUUGAGUGCAGAAGAGGAGAGUGGAAUUCCAUGUGUAGCGGUGAAAUGCGUAGAUAUAUGGAGGAACACCAGUGGCGAAGGCGGCUCUCUGGUCUGUAACUGACGCUGAGGCUAGAAAGCGUGGGGAGCAAACAGG
rnacentral:rRNA from 1 species